AGCUACAGCAGCCAGCUUACCUGUCAGCUGAAAGAGCAGUGAGAGUAAAGACUGACACCCCUACAGAGGUGAGCUGUAUGAAGGGGAUAAGUUUGCAUCCAGUUCUGCCGAACAGCCACUCAUCAGCAAGCACCUGUGCUUGCCAGCUGGAUUUAAAGUGAGGAAAAAGCAGGGUUCCGCUGGCAGCUCGGAUCCUAUAGGCGGGAUCUUCUGGACGUCAAUUCUUCCCCUGCUUCCCAGGAUGAGAGCAGGCUUACUGAAAUGACUGCGGUAAUUCCAGGCGAGCGCCGGAGAAUGCCAGCCACCUGCCGGAGAGUCUAAUCACUGCCGGGGAGCGGGGGGAUAGAAAACACACCAAAAUCACUGUUAACUCUUUAGAGGGUAAAAAAGGAAAUAAUAAUUAAAAAAUCUGCUCAUUUAUAGCUCCUGAGGUGAAGUUCACUGCUUCUCUCCCCCCCCCCCCCAAAAAAAAAAGAAAAGAAAAAGAAAGGAAAUAACUAGCUCAUACUGCAAAUAAUGUGAUCAUAAAAG